rnacentral:snRNA from 1 species
AUUAAGACAGCAGGACGGUGGU